GGUCAGAGUUCAAGGUCACAUUCACACAGCAGCAGAAUAGGUGUAGGUUGACAGUCCAUUUGAGUCACACUCGUUCACACACAGAACGGUUAUUUACCGGCGUGACGACAGCAUUCACACACACUUAUAUUUUUCAGGACUCAGAACCGCAUUGUCAGAAAACACAGGCGCAGUGUGAACGGGAGAGAAGAGGGCUGAACAACUCGGUCACAUCAUAUAUUGCGAGAGAGCCGCUCUGCUGCACAAACGUGCGUCUACCGUGUGUUGCGUGUUUUCAUGUGUGGUUUCGGUAACUUACAGACAGUGAUGGAGAAAUGAGCCGUGUGUCAUCUGUUUUGGAUCCAGUUUUUCUCCACCGGAGCCGCUCCUGUAACCGUUUUGUGUUUUGCGCGCGACUCAAAUGCUCUCCACCCAUAUAUUACUGCUUGUCGGUUAAUUAAAAUUUGACGGAGAACUCGCGACUCGAUUGGACCAUCGUGUCAGAAAGUAAUAAAACUUAAGUUUUGGACGUCGCCAUCUUUGACUGAGGCUACGGUUACUGGCUGCAUUCUUGAGCGUAAUGGUUCUCUUAUUGAUCAAGGACGUUAAGAAGCCCCUGUCUGCUCUCCAGUGAUGAAUUACACAGGAAUGACACCGCUUUCCUCAAGCUUUCAGCCCAGGAAAAUUCUUGACAUCUCAAGAACAUCAUAGUCCAUCUUUCUCUACAAAUAAUCUGGGCAUGUGUUUUGCCUGAUGACAGAAUAUAAUGAACAAAAGGUCAACGCAGAAUAAAUAAGGGGACCUUGGCAUGAAAAGGCUGAAGACCUCUGGUCUAUAAGCUUUUUUGACAGAUAUUCCAACUACUGUAGAAGAUUAGCAUGUGAAACAUGCUGGUUGGAUAUCUGUGUGAAAUCGGAAAACCUCAAUAUCAUUUGUUGGCUGUUGAAAUGGUCUGUGGAUCAGAGAUAUGAGAGCAGACCAGAGUGCCACAUCACUGCCUUAUCUAGAUGGGUUAAAGUGUUGAGCCAGCAUGACUGACCUACAGAUCAGAUGACAAGAGUGCAAUGUAAGCAUGUUAUAUGCACAUAUAAGCCACAAUCUACAUGAAACAGCAAAGAGAGAGAGAGAAAGACAGGAAAGAAAAUAGGGUUUGUGUGUUCAAUGUACACUACUGUUCAAAUGUUUGAG